GACGUAGGGGCCGAGCGUUGUCCGGAGUUACUGGGCGUAAAGGGCGCGCAGGCGGUCCGCUGCAUCGGUGGUGAAAGCCCCGGGCUUAACCCGGGAGGGUCCAUCGAGAUGAGCGGACUGGAGGCAGGGCGAGGGCGGUGGAAUUCCGGGUGUAGUGGUGAAAUGCGUAGAGCUCCGGAGGAACACCAGUGGCGAAGGCGGCCGCCUGGACCUGUCCUGACGCUGAGGCGCGAAGGCGUGGGGAGCGAACGGG
rnacentral:rRNA from 1 species